rnacentral:lncRNA from 1 species
CUGCUCUUCGCUUAGAGAACUAGGAGAGGGGACCGCCAUCUGCUGCCAGCUGGAGCCAGGGCACUGGCUGUCUCCGGUUGGUGGUGGGGAUGGAGCGGUCGAAGGGUGGCCUGCAGUGGGAGCUUUUCCUGCCGGGCAGGAGGAAGAGUAGAAGGGAGAGGCACGGACGCAUGCUGGAGGCUGGAGCUUGCGCCACCGCAGCUCGCCUCGCUGCGGUUGGUGGUGAUGUCGGACACUGCAGGUCUUCCAGAGUGGUAGACGUGCCGUUGGGUAGGCUUUUCUGGCUUUGCCCUCCCAGCUGCUCCAAGCCAGGAUGGAGGAGGAGGACAAGGAAGAGUCACCUGUGGUAAACUGGAGCCUGCAUAUGGCUCUGCAGCUGGUCUCAC